UCGGGCUUACACUCCCUGAGUAGAUCCCACCUGGGGCUCAGGAGGAGGCCGAGGGUGAAUGCAGAGAACAAAGUGAGCAAAGCUGGCCUUGUAUUAAAAUUAGACACAGUUAUAGGCACUACAACCGUUGGAUGUGCAAAUUGAGCCUGAAUUCCACAUGGACCAUAAGUAAGAGGAAGGAGCAAGAAUGAAAAGGUCUCCAUUAGGUGCAGAGGAUGGAGCAGGGAAGUCCUUCAGGAAAAAAAUCAUUAAUAAACCUUUCAGAAGACAUGGAGAAAUAAGACUCUGGAUACUACCAAGGAAGACAACUAGAGAUGCAAAUCCUUGUCAAGAGACAGUUGGGAUAUCUUGUAAAUAUGGUGGCCUUGUUAACACUGUUAAACU